CCUACGGGUAGCAGCAGUAAGGAAUAUUGGUCAAUGGACGCAAGUCUGAACCAGCCAUGCCGCGUGGAGGAUGAAGGCCCUUGGGUUGUAAACUUCUUUUAUUGGGGAAGCGGUACCCAUUGAAUAAGCACCGGCUAACUCCGUGCCAGCAGCCGCGGUAAUACGGAGGGUGCAAGCGUUAUCCGGAUUCACUGGGUUUAAAGGGUGCGUAGGUGGGUAGGUAAGUCAGUGGUGAAAUCUCCAAGCUUAACUUGGAAACUGCCGUUGAUACUAUUUAUCUUGAAUAUAGUGGAGGUGAGCGGAAUAUGUCAUGUAGCGGUGAAAUGCUUAGAUAUGACAUAGAACACCGAUUGCGAAGGCAGCUCGCUACACUAUAUUGACACUGAGGCACGAAAGCGUGGGGAUCAAACAGGAUUAGAUACCCCAGUAGUC
rnacentral:rRNA from 1 species